GACUCAAAAUACGGCAUAUGGAGGAUGCCUUGACAUCAAGAAGCGAUGAAGGACGCGGCGUGACUGCGAUAAGUCUCGGGGAACCGUCUAGCAGGUGUUGAUCCGGGAAUUUCCGAAUGGGGCAACCCAAUUGAGUAAAGCUCAAUUAUCUACUCAAAUUUUAUUUGAGCGGAUGCAGACCCGCUGAAGUGAAACAUCUCAGUAAGCGGAGGAAGAGAAAACAAAUUCGGCGAAAGCCGAAACCAUUCCCCAAGUAGCGGCGAGUGAACGGGGAACAGCCCAAACCUUUUUUAGAAAAGGUGUUGCAAGACAGCACAUUUGAAAAUUGAGCUUUGAAAUUUGAAGCUUGAUUUUCUGAGGCGAUUCCCAAAUUGCUAUGCAAUUUGUGAGCCUUCGCCUUGAAAGAAGUUAAAAAUUCAGAUGUUAGCAGAACGGUCCUGGAAAGGCCGGCCAAAGAAGGUGAUAGCCCUGUAAGCAAAAACGUUUGAACUUCUCGUGUUGAAGAAAGUUAUAUCGGAGUCUAUUUAUAGAUUUCGAUAUAACUUUCUAAUCUUAAGUAUCCCGGGACGAGACCAUCCUGGGUGAAUCUGCCACUACUACGUGGCAAGGCUAAAUAUUCUUGAUGAUCGAUAGUGAACCAGUACCGUGAGGGAAAGGUGAAAAGUAGCCCGGUGAGGGCGGUGAAAUAGUACCUGAAACCAUAUGCCUACGAAGAGACGGAGCUUGUUUCGGCGCGCAAGCGUCGAAUGAGUGACGUCGUGCCUAUUGAAGAAUGAGCCAACGAGUUUAUCUAAACUGCGAACUUUAAUCCGCUAUGCGGAGAAUGGAUAGCGAAAGCGAUUCCGAAAAGGGUAGUCCCCUGCUUUUGCAGGGGCGGGCAGUUUGGAUAAGACCCGAAGCCAGGGCGAGCUAACCAUGGCCAGGAUGAAUCCCAACGAAAGUUGGGAGGAGGUCCGAACCGGUUGAAGUCGCAAUUUCAUCGGAUGAGUUGUGGUUAGAAGUGAAAAGCUAAUCGAGCCUGGUAAUAGCUGGUUCUCUCCGAAAUGUCUUUAGGGACAGCCUCGGAUUUACGAUAGCGGGGGUAGAGCACUGAUUGGUUUGUCGUGCCCGAAAGGGUAGGCUUACCAGUCAAACUCCGAAUACCGUUAUUAAUUGUCCGGGAGUGAGACUGUGAGGGCAAAGCUUCAUAGUCGAAAGGGAAACAGCCCAGAGAACAAUCUAAGGCCUCUAAAUUCAAGCUAAGUGUAAAGGUGGUGAAGAUGCUAUGACAGCAAGGAGGUUGGCUUAGAAGCAGCCAUCCUUUAAAGAGUGCGUAACAGCUCACUUUUCGAGCAUUUUUGCGCCAAAUAUGUAUAGAGGCUAAGCUUGAUGCCGAAGAUGUUUAUCUCCAAUUUUUAAUUGGGGGUUGUAGGAGAGCGCUUCUUAAGCAGUGAAGGUCAAACGUGAGUUUGGCUGGAGCUUAAGGAGGUGAAAAUGUUGGCAUGAGUAACCGCAAUCAGGGUGAAAGCCCCUGACGCCGAAAGCCUGAGGUUUCCUCCGCGACGGUGAUCGUCGGAGGGUUAGGCGGGCCUAAGGAUAAGUCUGGCUAAGGUCAGGCGAUGCCGAUGGACAGCCGGUUAAUAUUCCGGCCCUUCUGUGGAAUCUAAUGGAGCGACGAAGCGCAGUAGACUAAGCGUGUUAUUGGAUUUGCGUUUGCGAUUUGAGAAUGGGAUAUAGGAAAAUCCGUAUCCCUAGCUUUUAAUAGCUGGAUUCAAAUAUCGUGAAAACCUUGGCGCAAGCCUGGGGAUUUGGUUAAGCGCGCUUCCAAGAAAAACUUCUAAAGUUAAUUCCAUAGAAUCCGUACCGUAAUCCGACACAGGUAGGCAGCUAGGCAAACUAGUAAGGCGAACGGGUGAUUGGUGGCCAAGGAACUCGGCAAAAAAGCGGUCGUAAGUUCGCAAUAUGACCUGCCCCGAUUUAACGUUGGGGCCGCAGCGAAUGACCCCUGGGGACUGUUUAUCAAAAACACAGCUCUCUGCUAAGCCAUAAGGCGCUGUAUAGAGGGCGACGCUUGUCCAGUGCUGGAAUGUUAACGGUUAAAGUCGUGGCGCAAGCCACGGCGGCGGCCCGAAGCACCAGUAAACGACGGCGAUAACCAUAAUCGUCCAAAGGUUACAGAGCGCGUUGCCUUUGUAAAAUCUGGCCGUAUGCUGGAAGUCUGAUGUGGAUAAUCCGCUGGUAAUAUAUUACCUUUGGUCUAUAAUUAAAUUAGUGACCAAAUAUACUGCGUCAGAUAAUCAGCAGGAAAGCUUGAAAAAUAUUGGUUGGAUAGUUGGUUUUGUAGAUGGAGAAGGAACUUUUACUGUAAGUAUAUUUAAGAAUGAAAAAGCGCAAAGAAGAUUAUGAUAAUCAUCACGAAGAUAUGUAUAAGUACUGCGUGAGAUCACUUAAAGAUCUAAAAGAAAAAAUAAUUCCUUUGAAUCGAAAAUCCAGACCAAAGUUUUCAGAGCUCCUCAGAGACUACACGCCAGACCUCGACGUUACGUCGGGGAAGAUAUAGUCCGAUCCCCGUGGCGACACGGGCGUGGUAGAGAAAUUCUAUCACUCUAGAUUAAUCUAGAUUAAAUUGAGCGCAAUUCCUUUCCGGGUAAGUUCCGGAGCGCAUGAAAAGCGGAACCACUGGGGGACUGUCUCGGCCACUGGCCCGGUGAAAAUGCAGUUGGGGUAAAGAUGCCCCAUACCCGCACCAAGACGGAAAGACCCCGGAAGCUUUACUGCAGCUUGGUAUUGGUCUAUGAAUUUCGAUGCGUAGAAUAGUGGGGAGGAUUUGAAGCCCCGAUUUCGGUCGGGGUGGAUCCGACAGUGAAAUACCCAUCUUCGUAAUUUGUAGUUCUAACUGGUGACACCCUAAGAGGAGAAAAAAUCUUUUCUUAGGGUGUCAUCAAGACAGUGUCUGGUGGGCAGUUUGAAUGGGGCGUUUCCCUCCUAAAGAGUAACGGAGGGGUUCAUAAGGUUGGCUUAGGGCGGAUGGAAAUCGCCCUGGACGCAUAAAGGCAAAAGCCAGCUUUACUGUAAGGCAUACAUGCCGCGCAGUUGCGAAAGCAGGACUUAGUGAACCGAUAGUUGUUAGUAGGAACGCUAAAGAUUAACGGAUAAAAGCUACUCCGGGGAUAACAGGCUAGUCCCGCCCACGAGUCCAUAUCUACGGCGGGGAUCGGCACCUCGAUGUCGGCUCGACUUAGCGCGGGGGUGAAGAAGCUCCCAAGCGUUGGACUGUUCGUCCAUUAAAAAGUUACGUGAGCUGGGUUCAAACCGUCGUGAGACAGGUUGGUCCUUAUCUGGUGUGGGCGUUUAAAGACCUGAGUGGGGUCGCUCCUAGUACGAGAGGACCGGAGUGAGCGUACCUCUGGUGUACCAGUAGUCCUGCCAAGGGCGUCGCUGGGUAGCUAAGUACGUGAGUGAUAAGCGCUGAAAGCAUCUAAGCGCGAAACAUGCCACAAGAUUAGGUCUAGGUCCGUCAGAGACUAUGACGUUGAUAGGGUUUAGGUGUAAGCGGGGCAAUCCGUUUAGCCGAGAACUACUAAUAGACCGAUUUUAUUCCC
rfam:Parcubacteria group bacterium RIFCSPLOWO2_02_FTLL_40_12 rifcsplowo2_02_scaffold_2398, whole genome shotgun sequence.